GACGAACGCUGGCGGCGUGCUUAACACAUGCAAGUCGAACGGUGAAGCGCCUUCCUUUUUGGUGGGUGUGGAUGAGUGGCGAACGGGUGAGUAACACGUGAGUAACCUGCCCCCUUCUUCUGGAUAACCGCAUGAAAGUGUGGCUAAUACGGGAUAUUCUGGGUCUGUCGCAUGAUGGGUCUGGGAAAGAUAUUGUUUCGGUGGGGGAUGGGCUCGCGGCCUAUCAGCUUGUUGGUGGGGUGAUGGCCUACCAAGGCGGUGACGGGUAGCCGGCCUGGGAGGGUGGACGGCCCCACUGGGACUGAGACACGGCCCAGACUCCUACGGGAGGCAGCAGUGGGGAAUAUUGCACAAUGGGCGCAAGCCUGAUGCAGCGACGCCGCGUGAGGGAUGGAGGCCUUCGGGUUGUGAACCUCUUUCGCCAGUGAAGCAGGCCUGCCUCGUUUGUGGGUGGGUUGACGGUAGCUGGAUAAGAAGCGCCGGCUAACUACGUG
rnacentral:rRNA from 1 species